CGAGUUUACAGGCCGUGUGUGUCUUGCACCGUGUGAAGGCUCUUGUGUUCUUGGUAUCAUUGAGAAUCCUGUUUCCAUCAAAUAUUGAAUGCUUGAUCAUAGACAAGGCCUUUUGAAGAGGGUGGAUGGUGCCCCGGCCACCCCAGAAGAGAACAGGGAAAAAAGUUGCGAUUGUGGGAAGUGGACCAGCUGGAUUGGCUGCAGCUGACCAGCUGAACAGGAUGGGCCAUUUUGUGACAGUGUAUGAGCGUGGCGAUCAAAUUGGGGGCCUAAUGAAGUAUGGUGUGCCAAACAUGAAGACUGACAAAGUGGAUGUAGUUCAACGGCGAGUUAACUUGAUGGCUUAGGAAGGUGUCAAUUUUGUGGUGAAUGCCAGCGUUGGGAAGGAUUCAUCAUACUCUCUUGAUAGGCUCCAAAGGAAAAUGAUGCUAUUGUUUUAGCUGUUGGCGCCACAAAACCAAGGGACCUUCCUGUACCUGGACGCGAAUUGUCAGGUGUUCAUUUUGCCAUGGAGUUCCUUCAUGCAAACACAAAGAGCUUGCUUGACAGCAAUCUCAAGGAUGGUAACUACAUAUCUGCAAAGGGAAAGAAGGUAGUGGUCAUUUGUGGAGGUGACACUGGCACGGAUUGCAUAGGAACAUCUAUCAGGCAUGGCUGCUGUAGAAUUGUAAACUUGGAGUUGCUUUCUAAGCCACUGGAGAAGAGGGCUCCAGGCAACCCUUGGCCACAGUGGCCUCGCGUCUACCAUGUUGAUUAUGGCCACCAGGAAGCUGCAGCUAAGUUUGGGAAAGACCCAAGGUCUUAUGAAGUGCUAACUAAGCAGUUUAUUGGUGAUGAAAAUGGGGUCGUUAAAGGGCUUGAAGUAGUGCGUGUUAGGUGGGAGAAGGAUGCUAGUGGGAAGUUUCAGUUCAAAGAAAUUGAGGAUCUGAGGAAAUCAUUGAGGCUGAUCUGGUUUUACUGGCCAUGGGAUUCCUUGGUCUAGAAUCGACUAUUGUAGACAAGUUGGGUCUAGAGAGAGAUGGCAGGUCAAACUUCAAGGCUGACUAUGGCCGGUUUGCGACCAAUGUGGAGGGAGUUUUUGCUGCUGGGGAUUGCUGAUGUGGUCAGUCUCUGGUGGUGUGGGCCAUCUCCGAGGAAGGCAAGCUGCGGUGCAGGUCGAUAGAUUCCUCAUGCCAAAGGAGGAGGAUCUCACCGUCGACCCUGAGGCAUAUAUCUUCUUUCAAAUUAUUCAAUGCGGCAUGAAUUGCUAAUUGUAUCAUGCUCGCCUGUGGGGGGAGCCAUCUUCAAGUCCUUAUUGUUCUUUUAUUAAUGUAACAAGAUUCUCAUUGCCACCCAAAGUCACUUUUCAUCAUUGAGGCAAUACUUUCGUUCGGGAAGAAGGUGGGUGUAAAAUAGAAAAAGCAGAGAAUGUCAUUUUUGUCAUGUCCUUUCCACAGUUGCUCGUGUUGGAAAAUAGGCAUCUCGAAGCUUUGAUUCGUCUGUUGUUAUUUAUUGUGCAGUAUUGGAAAAUAGGCAUCUCGAAGCUUUGAUUCGUUUGUUGUUAUUUAUUGUGCAGUAUUUUGUUGUUUGAUCACAAGAAUGUAGCACUUUUGAACUUAA